rnacentral:rRNA from 1 species
UACGGAGGGUGCAAGCGUUAAUCGGAAUUACUGGGCGUAAAGCGCGCGUAGGCGGCUGGAUAAGUCGAUUGUGAAAGCCUUGGGCUCAACCUGAGAAUUGCAGUCGAGACUGUUCGGCUAGAGUGUGGGAGAGGGUGGUGGAAUUCCCGGUGUAGUGGUGAUAUGCGUAGAUAUCGGGAGGAACACCUGUGGCGAAGGCGGCUUUCUGGGCCUUACCUGACGCUGAGACGCGAAAGCGUGGGGAGCGAACCGG